rnacentral:rRNA from 1 species
AAGUCGAACGGUGAAGCCUUCGGGUGGAUCAGUGGCGAACGGGUGAGUAACACGUGGGCAAUCUGCCCUGCACUCUGGGACAAGCCCUGGAAACGGGGUCUAAUACCGGAUAAUACCUUCUUCCGCAUGGGGGAGGGUUGAAAGCUCCGGCGGUGCAGGAUGAGCCCGCGGCCUAUCAGCUUGUUGGUGGGGUAAUGGCCUACCAAGGCGACGACGGGUAGCCGGCCUGAGAGGGCGACCGGCCACACUGGGACUGAGACACGGCCCAGACUCCUACGGGAGGCAGCAGUGGGGAAUAUUGCACAAUGGGCGAAAGCCUGAUGCAGCGACGCCGCGUGAGGGAUGACGGCCUUCGGGUUGUAAACCUCUUUCAGCAGGGAAGAAGCGCAAGUGACGGUACCUGCAGAAGAAGCACCGGCUAACUACGUGCCAGCAGCCGCGGUAAUACGUAGGGUGCGAGCGUUGUCCGGAAUUAUUGGGCGUAAAGAGCUCGUAGGCGGUCUGUCGCGUCGGAUGUGAAAGCCCGGGGCUUAACCCCGGGUCUGCAUUCGAUACGGGCAGACUAGAGUGUGGUAGGGGAGAUCGGAAUUCCUGGUGUAGCGGUGAAAUGCGCAGAUAUCAGGAGGAACACCGGUGGCGAAGGCGGAUCUCUGGGCCAUUACUGACGCUGAGGAGCGAAAGCGUGGGGAGCGAACAGGAUUAGAUACCCUGGUAGUCCACGCCGUAAACGUUGGGAACUAGGUGUUGGCGACAUUCCACGUCGUCGGUGCCGCAGCUAACGCAUUAAGUUCCCCGCCUGGGGGAGUACGGCCGCAAGGCUAAACUCAAAGGAAUUGACGGGGGCCCGCACAGCAGCGGAGCAUGUGGCUUAAUUCGACGCA